CUCCUAUCUCACCAUGUGCUUCUCAUUCUAUUCAUGUUUAACUUUUGUGCCAUAACAAUAACCCCUUAAAUACCCAAAUAUUUGUUUAUUUGUAUUUUUCUCUCGUUCCACUCUUUCCUUUCUUUAUUGCUGUGCCUUUUAAUUUUCCCUUUUCUCAGCUUUUAUUUGUAAUAUUUUUGCAUCAUGCUAGCUUUUCUACAUUCUCUCUGUCUACCUUUUAUUUCAAAUUUUGGAUUUAAAACCAUAAAAAUAGGUAUUAGAAAUGCUGGUGCAUAGAUGUUUAGAAG